GGAUAUAGCUCAGCGGGUAGAGUGCUUGCCUUGCAUGCACAAGGCCCUGGGUUUGAUCCCCAGCAACACA
rnacentral:tRNA from 1 species